rnacentral:rRNA from 1 species
GUGGGGAAUAUUCCGCAAUGGACGAAAGUCUGACGGAGCAACGCCGCGUGAGUGAUGAAGGUUUUCGGACUGUAAAGCUCUGUUGUUUAGGACGAAAGUGCCUGUUGCAAAUAGUUACAGGUAUUGACGGUACUGAACGAGGAAGCCACGGCUAACUACGUGCCAGCAGCCGCGGUAAUACGUAGGUGGCAAGCGUUGUCCGGAAUUAUUGGGCGUAAAGAGCAUGUAGGCGGGAAUCUAAGUCUGUUGUGAAAAUGCGGGGCUCAACCCCGUAUUGCGAUGGAAACUGGGUUUCGUGAGUGCAGGAGAGGAAAGGGGAAUUCCCAGUGUAGCGGUGAAAUGCGUAGAUAUUGGGAGGAACACCAGUGGCGAAGGCGCCUUUCUGGACUGUGUCUGACGCUGAGAUGCGAAAGCCAGGGUAGCGAACGGGAUUAGAAACCCGUGUAGUCC